CACUCCAGAGUCGAAGCCGUUUUUUAAACGUGGGAAAUUAGUGUUUAAUUUUCCUUUUGUUUUGACUGCGGAUUUAUAUGUUUAAUGUGUAAGUUUAAUUAACGUGAUAAUUUGCACGCAUGGGACGCUAUUAAUGCGCCAGAUUUUGUUAAGACUUGGAUCAAGGAUGGUGUAAGGAUUCCAUUUCAGGUCACGAACAUAUCGUAGGAGCUCUCCGGAAAAACGAACGGCUGAGGAGGUAUUUCACCACGCAAAACCGGAGUCAGAGCUGACUAUCCAGUCAGUAACCCAUGACUCCGUGGAGGAUACCAGGACGGCCCUGCCGCUGUACAUGAAGUACCAGGAGCUGUCCAAGGAAGGCAUGGAUAAGGUGUGUAGGGUCAUCAGGGAGAUGUACGACUUCGGACGCAAUAAUCAGUGGAAGAUAACGUCAGAUUUGGGCGAGGAGACAUUAGAAGAUAGUUCCGUAGCGUUCUUGUGAAUACAGACACGAGUGUUCUUUUGAAUCGUGUGGAAUUUUUGUAAACACAGUCAAGUGGUGUCUUUGUUAAAACAAUGGCCAUCUUGUAAACACAGAAAAUUGGAGUUUUGUUUAGACAGUAUUGUGAAAACAUUGACCAAGGUAUUUUGUUGAGGAAAUCAUAUUCUUCUAAACACAGUCAAGUGGUGUCUUUUUAUUGAGAUGAUAAUUCUUGUACCCAUUUUCAAGUGGUUUCUCUUUAGAGACAUGGGCAUUCUUGUACCCACUGUCAAGUGCUUUUUUGGUUUUAGAUAUUUGCAUUGUUAAAAACACAUUCAAAUAGAGCUUUGUGACAUUAUGGUGGUGUAAUGAUGCUGUAGUUGUUUAAAUGAGCAGGUAUAAAUCUCGUCUUUACAACUGAUUUUCUUUAAAUGCCAGGAUUUCUUUUCAAAUAAUACGUAAGUUUCUUUACUCUUAUAUGUAAAAUAAUUUUCAUCAAGCCAAUGUUGCGUUCAUAUGUUUUCAUUUCCAAAAGUGUUAUUUAAUUCAUACCCCGUAAAAACAGCCAAAUUCUUGUAAUUAACUGUUUGUGAGAGAAACUAGUCAAAUUCUAUAGAUUAUUUGCAUUCAAACAAUAAUGGUAAUCUCUUUUCAUGAGCUGAUUAAGUGAAUCUCUCAUCAACAUUUGACUGAGUGAGAUAAAGAGUUUGAACUGAGACAAGGAGAUCUGAGAUACAUAGCGCUGUAUCAUACAAUUGCAUCUUUGUUAAUCAUUACUUGUAAGAUGACAAUCUCCUUGCAAGGCCUGUUACAGGUCAUUUGUAUUUAUGUGUUCACGAUGCCAUGUUGUGGUCGUUGAAUUGUGUAUGUAUAAUAAAUGAAUCAUGUGGUAUAGUUUAUUGUUUCAUGUAAAUAGUGAUUCAAAAUAAAAUUCAUAUGACGCCAUUCUCUGUUUGUCGAUUAAUAUCAUGACACAUCUCGUGCUACAACUCAUAUGUAAGCAUAGACUUGUUUAAC